AGCAGGAGGUAAACAGAUGAAAUGUUUUAAAAUUGUAAAUCUCUCUCUCUAAAAGAAUCUGCUGAUAAUAAGAAAUUGGAAACAUAAAAAAGUAUAGAAACA